UGGCUCAGAUGGUAAAGCAUCUGCCUGCAAUGCAGGAGACCCAGGUUCAAUACCUGG
rnacentral:tRNA from 1 species